GGUUUAGGUAUCCUUGGGUUUAGGUUCAGGUGAGUGUGAGUGGAGAAUUAUGAUAGAAAAACUAUCAGAGCCUUGGUUUAUAAUCACCUGAGAUUGUAACAGGAAUGAUAUUGUAAUCUAAGGUUUAAAACCACUAGGGACUGUAGCCUUAGUGGCAUUAGAGUUUGACGUUUAAGAUCAUUAGAGAUUGUGACAGAAAUAUAUCAUAGCUUAAGGUUAUGAUCCCUUAGGACAUGACAAUUAAAUUCAGUGCUUCAGCUGUAAGAUCCCUGGGCAUUGUGAUAAAAUGUAUGCAUCGGUUUGGUUUUCGAUGCAUACGGAGGGAAAGUAUAAAUUGUCUUUGAUCAUGAUAAGAGAGGUUUGACCUAAGAUAAGUGUAGGUCAACAAUGGCAUAUCGAGUAUACCAUGUUCAGAUAUUAUUUAAAUGAUUUGAAAGUUCAAAUUUGAUGUGGGUUUUAAUGUGAUCAUACUUUUGGUUUUACUGCUAAUUUUUAGAGUGGGAUUUGUACGUUGAUUUAGUAUUGGAGUAAGCUAAGGAGAUUUCAUAAUAUUGAAAGGAACGUUCUUCGAAGUUGAAAAUGUAUGUGGAUUAUAUCUGGUGUUGGCAUGUUGGAUAUUGCAAAUAGGUCUAUUUCCUAUGGAUGUAUUUGAUUAUU
rnacentral:lncRNA from 1 species